rnacentral:rRNA from 1 species
AACGAACGCUAGCGGCAUGCCUAACACAUGCAAGUCGAACGAGACCUUCUUUUCUAGUGGCGAACGGGUGCGUAACUCCUUGGAACCUGCCCUUCGUUUCGUAAUCACUCCCCGAACGGGGUGCUAAUUCCGUUUAUUCUCCUUGAUCUAAAGAUUUAUCGCCAUUUGAUGGUUCCGCGUUCGAUUAGCUAGUUGGUACGUUAAACGCAUACCAAGGCUACGAUCCAUAGCUGGUCUGAGAGGAGGAUCAGCCACACGAGGACUGAGACACGGCCCAGACUCCUACGGGAGGCAGCAGUGGGGAAUAUUAGACAAUGGGCGAAAGUCUGAUCCAGCAAUGCCGCGUGAGUGAUGAAGGCCUUAGGGGUGUAAAGCUCUUUUAACCGGGAUGAUAAUGACAGUACCGGGAGAAUAAGCUCCGGCUAACUCCGUG